GCUACAGCGAGGCUAAGCUAGUGGGGGAAAAGUUUCAGUGCAUUCCGUUGAUGUAGACAGCAUGAAAAUGGAAACAAGUAUGCCGGCUCACUGUGCUGCAUACAAUUGCACACUGCGUCGUACGAUUGAGACAAGGAAACUUGGAAUGACUUUUCAUAGGUUUCCCAGAGACUAUGGGUUGAGGAGGAAGUGGAAUUUUGUCGGCUUAGACUUGGUGUCAUUCCAUCAGUGUUAAACUUCCCGACUCGUCUUGGAAGAGUACGUGCCAGAAAGACCACGACCAAGCAGCCUUGAGAUCUUAGGCAGCGUCUCCCUGAGACCAAAGAACUACAGACUUCACAACCUGCUCAAACUCUUGGUACAGGACCUCACCACACGGGUCAAGAAGGUUUCUGUCUCAUUUCUACUCUGAAGCUCACCUUCUCCUGCUCAAACUGCUGACAAAUGUUUCUGCUGCUCUAAAGUCUGGUCUCCAGAACUUCCUAAAAACUCUCAAAGUCUCUUCUGCUGCAGGUUGCUUUGUAGAACUGUUACAGAAAACCUCACUAAACCACGUGGAGGGGCCUCAAGAUAGUCGUCCAAAUGAAACCGAACAAAAACCAAACUAGCACAACCCAAACACUAAAGUCUCCUGCAGCCUACCAGAGAACCUCUGAGAACAGAGAAUCAGGACAGGAACUCUUACCUUCUGGACAACCAACGUUGGUUCUCAAACAAGAAUACAGAAUGUGUCUGACCAAAAACCUCUGAAGACUCACUACAGCCAAGAUAAAGACACAACUCAGCUGCACCAAAUCCACUAAUCACUGCACACAUUAGCACCAUGUGCUAACUGUGGCUAAAGAACCGCAUUUACCAAGACAACUAUCCAGUACAAAGCCCUAAAACACACCAAGAAACACAUUAAAGACGAUUUUACUGCUGGAAGCUGCAAGCCAACGCCUAAAGAACAAACUAGAGAAACGGAGCCAAACCCGGUUCAGUGGUGAAUAGAAGCAGAGGAAAUGUUUGUCUGCAGCUAAAUAAAGCAGGAAGACACUGAGCUGCUCAGGUGUUCCUGAUAACACCAAGCUGCUCAGGUGUUCCUGAUAACACCAAGCAGCCACCUGGGCAGCCAAUAGGAACACAGCUUACUGGAAGUCCAGAGGGCUGGCUUAGUGAAGGAAAUUUAAUUUAAAGUUGAAGCAGAAAGUUAACAAAGAAAGUUGAAAACCACCUUCUGAUACCUGAAAUCUCUGAGUUUUCACAUAAAGAACACCUGAACAUGUCAAACUGGUUUCAUAGUAGAACCAUCAUUGUAAAAACGUCAUAGUAUGGUGUGUUGCUCAAAAAACAUUAGGACCCGGCUGUCAGGGGACAAACAUGUAAGAAACAUGAGAACAGAGAGAACCCAACCAGUAGGUCACAGUUUAUCAUCCCCCAGUCAUCUCCUGAAGUCCAUAUGGUGAGAGACAUCAGUAUCUGGUUGUUAAUUUACCAGAGGAUGCUUAUAAUCAUGUUGAUGUGGUCUGUACUCGACAGUAUUUUAGUGACUCAAUAAAUGCCUAAAUUGUUUUUUUUUUUUAAAUGUGUUUUAGUUUUUAAUAAACAUUUAAUGGCCUAUAUGUAAUCAAUAAAUGGCCUUUGACUAUCUUAAGAAAAACUCACUCAGAACUCUGAUAUGUUAACA
ensembl:lncRNA